GUACGGUACAGUACAGUACCGUACAGUAUGGUACGGUACAGUACAGUACAGUACGGUACGGUACAGUACAGCACAGCACAGUACAGUACAGAGCAUGGGAG
rnacentral:miRNA from 10 species